CACGUAGGGUGCGAGCGUUGUCCGGAAUUAUUGGGCGUAAAGAGCUCGUAGGCGGUGUGUCGCGUCGGCCGUGAAAACCUGCAGCUUAACUGUGGGCUUGCGGUCGAUACGGGCAUCACUGGAGUUCGGCAGGGGAGACUGGAAUUCCUGGGGUAGCGGUGAAAUGCGCAGAUAUCAGGAGGAACACCGGUGGCGAAGGCGGGUCUCUGGGCCGAUACUGACGCUGAGGAGCGAAAGCGUGGGGAGCGAACAGG
rnacentral:rRNA from 1 species